UCAAUCAAUCUUAAUGUGAAAGAUAAAAAAUGUUUGUAUUGUUUGUUUAACAUUCCUUUUAAGAAUGUUUCUCUCAUAUGGAUCGAGGCGUCACCAUUUACUGAUGGAGGGCUGCAAAUUUAGACGAUUACUUUGUACAAUGAGGGAUUAUUUUUCGUGCCAGCAUCUUCUGCGACAUAAGACCGCGAUUUAUUGAACGUCACAUCCGAAGGAUACAUAAGGAUUAAUUUCAUAUUCCACAGCUCUGACCACUGUGCCACGCGUGCGAGUAUUACGUAAUAACAGAGUACUUUGAUACCACGUGAAUGCUAAUGGCCACUAUUUGUAUCUUGCACUUCAGGUUGAAAUCAUUGUACAAAUAUCAUUUAUGAUCAUAAUUCUCUUAAUUUGGCAUCCCAUCAUUUGUGUUCUUUUUUGUUUGUAUAAAGUUCUAAGUCACCAUUACAAAUAUGUAGUAUGCAUCUCACCAAGCUGAUUCUUUUCACAUAACGAAAGAUUCAGAGCUAUUCUUUUCCAUCAAUUUUCUUCAUUUAUCGCCUUCCUUGAUGCUGAUUAGUUGAAAAUUGAUAUGUUCAAGACAUUGGGUAACUAGGUAUUUACUGGUAAUUAGGCAGAGGACUUGACAAACGUAUUUUGUGCUUCUGUUUUCCUUUGUUUUAACUCCGCCCAUCAACCAAUCAGCUUUGAAAAGGGCCUUGCUUAACGCCGAUUGGGAAUGAAAAACGAAAAGAAUCAGUUUGGUGAGAUGCAUAAUAAGGAUCAUCUUAGUACAACUUAAAUCGAAAAUUAAAUUCAAUAUUUAAUGUUAUCGAUGCUCUAUUCAGAUUAUGUCAACGAUAAUUCAUGCUCAUUUAGAUUAGAUGUAGAAAAAUCAAAUACCAUGAUGUAAGCCCUAACUGACAUGCACAUGUACCUGUAGUUCAAUAGAUGUUUUUCUGUAACUUGUCAAAACUCCCUGAGCCACACGUGAAGUUAUCUUUUCUGAUUAAAUAGUGCUGAUCAUCUGUUGGUGUCUGUAAAAUUUUCAGACUUAUUUUCCACUUAUCCUAGAACCAGUGAGAACUAAUAUCAACCAAAUUUGCCGAAAAGCAUCCUCAUAUGAAAGGGAUUCAAGUUUGUUCAAAUAGAGUCUCGCCCCUUUUCAAAUGGAAAUGGUUAUUACUAUUUGUAUUUUUCAUUAUUAUGACCUUGAACAGUUCAUGUUGAAUCAUUUGAAGUUGUAAAGGAGGGGUCAUUUUCAAGGAUGGCUAAAAUUUUACAGGUUCGUCACAUUGAUGAUAAAAUUGGGAUAGUUUCUAAUAUGGACGAUAAAAAUAUUAAAAGGGACUUUCCCGGGCCAUAAAACUUGAACGAGCUCACUUUUGAUCUCACGUUCACUUUUAUGAAAGGAAUAUAAGAUGAAAAAAGUGAGACCGAGAUCGAAAUUGAGCUGGUCCGAAUUUUGUGACUCAGGGGCAAGGACGGCAAAUGCGAUUCAUGUGAGCGUUGUGGCCUGUAUGCCUCUUAUUAAUCACCAUAUUAAUAUUGCACUUGAAUUGUUUCGUUUAAAGUAUGUUAAAAAUUAUUUGAACUAGAUUACAUUAUGAUAAUUGUUCUUUUUUCACCAAUUUAAUAGUAUGUAAUUUUUCAUGUUUACAUAGUAGCACAAAUUUUUGUAGUAAAUAUACUAUAUAAUUUGAAUUUUAGAAACAAAAUGGCAGGCUUUUAUAACAAAGUAAAGGAUUAUGUGAACGGUUGACACGUAGAACUGAGUUUGGGAUAAAAAAAAAAUAAAAACGAUUUGGGACAAAAUCAUAGCCCAUCAUUGAGUGUUCAGGGGAAGAUCGAUACAUGUAUUCUUUAAAUAACAUCGAUACCAUAUAGAAGUACAUCUUGUUUAAUUAAAAGGAGGUAACUUUACACUCUGGUUGAGCAAAAUUGAAUAGAAUUGUUUUUAUAUUGAAGCAACAUCAACUUUCGAUUGUUUUAAAAGAUUGGUGCAAUGAUUUUGCCACUUGAGAUGUACACUAGAGUAUUUCCAAUGAGAACGAAGGGAGCC